AAGUCGUAACAAGGUUUCCGUAGGUGAACCUGCGGAAGGAUCAUUACCACAAACAGUACUUUACUGUAUUGUUUUAAAACUCUUUAUUGCAAAUUGUGCACGGAUUUUUAGAUGUUAUUUUAGAACCUUUAUAUGUGAUGUAAUAGCAAUGACAGUGUUGAUCUUGGCAAGUCAUUGACUUCAUCGAUCUUGUUGAAGGAAUAUUAUAUUGCAUAUGAGGAAGUAUGAAAUAACAAUAUAUCUAAAUCUCCAUCUGUGUUUUUUAUACUCGAAAACACAAUCAUAAUUCGCCAUUAAUUUCUUUUUGAUCUUGAAAAGGAAUUUUGGUGAUUUCUUUUAAUUAUUUACUUUAAUAACAGCAUUUUUAAUUAAAUGUUGUUUUAAAAUAAAACUCUGUACAACUCUUAGCAACGGAUGUCUUGGUUCCC
rnacentral:misc_RNA from 1 species